rnacentral:rRNA from 1 species
UUGACCUCGGAUCAGGUAGGGAUACCCGCUGAACUUAAGCAUAUCAAUAAGCGGAGGAAAAGAAACCAACAGGGAUUGCCUCAGUAACGGCGAGUGAAGCGGCAACAGCUCAAAUUUGAAAUCUGGCUCCUUCGGGGUCCGAAUUGUAAUUUGUAGAGAGUGCUUCGGGCGAGACCUCGGUCUAAGUCCAUUGGAACAUGGUGUCAUAGAGGGUGAGAAUCCCGUAUGCGACCGUGGCUCGAGCCCAUGUGAAGCCUCUUCGACGAGUCGAGUUGUUUGGGAAUGCAGCUCAAAAUGGGUGGUAAAUUUCAUCUAAAGCUAAAUACUGGCUGGAGACCGAUAGCGCACAAGUAGAGUGAUCGAAAGAUGAAAAGCACUUUGGAAAGAGAGUCAAACAGUACGUGAAAUUGUUGAAAGGGAAGCGCUUGCAACCAGACCUGCCCGUAGGCGAUCCGCCGCUGUUCUCAGCGGUGUACUCGCUCUGCGAUCAGGCCAGCAUCGGUUUCGGCGGUCGGAUAAAGGCCUUGGGAAUGUAGCUUCCCCUCGGGGGAGUCUUAUAGCCCUCGGUGUAAUGCGGCCAGCUGGGACCGAGGACCGCGCUUCGGCUAGGAUGCUGGCGUAAUGGUUGUAAGCGACCCGUCUUGAAACACGGACCAAGGAGUCUAACAUCUAUGCGAGUGUUUGGGUGUCAAACCCAUACGCGAAAUGAAAGUGAACGGAGGUGAGAACCCUCAAGGGCGCAUCAUCGACCGAUCCAGAUGUCUUCGGAUGGAUUUGAGUAUGAGCAUAGCUGUUGGGACCCGAAAGAUGGUGAACUAUGCCUGAAUAGGGUGAAGCCAGAGGAAACUCUGGUGGAGGCUCGCAGCGGUUCUGACGUGCAAAUCGAUCGUCAAAUUUG